AAGGCUCUGUGUUUUUUCUAAUUUUAAUUCUUUUUCUUUUAUUAUUUUUAAUUGUUUUUUCUUUAAAAGUUCAUGGUAAUUUCAUUUUUCAUCAAAAAAAUCCCAAAAUAAUUUCUAAAAUUGUCUUUUAUUUUUAUUCAUCUGAUUUUUAUUUUUUUCACAUUUUAUUUCACUCAUUUUCUAUUUUUCAUGAAUUUUUUCUUUUCUCCUUUGUUUUAAUUGGUCUAAAAAUACUUUACUGCAUUUUAAAAUUCU
rnacentral:lncRNA from 1 species